UUCCAAUCAUGGGUAAGAAGGCGACUCGUUCUCAUGCCAAUAUUACUACUCCUAAUGAGAAUGACUUCGUCGAUCAAGGGAUCCUAACCUAUGAUGAGGUCUAUUCCUUUGCCGAUGAAGACAUACAGUUCCUCAGAAUUGGAGGAGCUUUUCCUUCUAAAGUAGUUUUUAGAUCCUUUGAAGUUUCCAUUCAGCCUGAUUUUGUUUCGUCUUCUUGGGUAUGUUUCCCUGAGUAUCCCUUUUCUUUGGGUUUGAAAUAUCCUUUCUCGGGCAUUGUUUCUAAGUUUUUUCAAGGCACUCAACUCUCAUACAUUCAAGUUAUGCCCAUUGUCUGGAGGAUAUUAUCUUUGAUUGAUUAAGUGAAUCAUACCCAUAAUCAAGAGAUAGGUUUUCCUGAGUUGGCUUUUGUUUAUGAACUUUAUACCUUUGGAAAUUCUCGUUUCUUUCCAAUCAGUCUCCUCUUAUCUUGAAAUUAAAACACAAUGAUAGAUCCUACAAUGAAAAUUACUUCUUCAUGAGGCGUGAUUCAAUCGUUGGAGGAGAUCUUUUUCCCAAAGCUUAGGUUAGAAAGGGUUUAAAGUUUAGAGAAGCUUUUUCCAUUGCUGAAGAUACUGAGGAUAAGGUCUCGAGUUUCCUUGUUUUACCUAUGGAUGUUCAAUCGUUCAAGUUCGAGUGCCCUAUCCUCCAAGAAGGUUCAUCUACUACAGCUUCAAUGGCCACGGGAUCUAAUUAAGCUACUCGCUCCAGUGCUCAGUUUGCUUUGGAUGAUCUUAAGGAUGAUAUGAAUAGUGUCCUACUUGUUGUGAAAAAGGAAAAGAUCCUUCCCCUUCUCCCUCCUAAGAGGACUCAAUUUGAUCUUGUUGUGAAACCCCCUGCAUCUUGCAAGAGGAAACCCUCUGACGCCUGGGAUCUUGAGAAUCUUGGAACAUAUGAGGCAUUAAGGAGGUUGCUGACCACGUCUCCCGUUCUACUAAGGAUCUCAAAGUCAAGCUUGCUCAAACCGAGCACGUUUUGAAAGAGCAAGAGGAGAUCAACAAGGAGCUCUUGGAAAGGGUGGAGAAGUUAUACAAAGAAACAGCUGAGAGAGAAGAGGAACAUGAGGCUGAGAUGGAUGAGGUCACAACUGAGGUGAAGGCUAGUGUCGCGAUGGCUGUUUGGGAUGCGAAGAUAAAGCUUUCGGGGGAUCUGUGGAACACAGGAUCCUGGAACGUGGCUGGGUGGCGCGAGGCCCUGACCAAGUUAACUGGAAAGCCUGUGAAAGCCAGUCAAGAUCCUGUUCCGUAGCCGAAGAAGGGAGGAGAGAAGGAUAACACGCAACUGGCACCAGGUGAUGGUGAUCAAUCUGCAGUUUAAGAUUGAUUUAGUUUAAAAACAAUUUUAAUAAAUUUGGGCAUGUAAGACAAUAUUUUACUCUCUUUUUUGUGGGUUUGGUGGACAACCCUUUUAAUCUAUGGUCUCUUUAUAUUUCUA